UGUGUGUGUGUGCGCGCUCAACUGAUGGAAAAAGGCAUGAAAGUCAGGUGCAAAAAAAUAAAUUCUCUUCUGCAACCCAGAAUUCGCUGUUUAAUUAGAAUCUUGCCACAUAUAAGAAGGAAAAUC